rnacentral:rRNA from 1 species
GACGGAGGAUGCAAGUGUUAUCCGGAAUCACUGGGCGUAAAGCGUCUGUAGGUGGUUCGAAAAGUCCACUGUUAAAAAUUGAGGCUUAACUUCAAAGAUGCCGUGGAAACUUUUCAAACUAGAGUAUGGUAGGGGCAGAGGGAAUUUCCGGUGGAGCGGUGAAAUGCGUAGAGAUCGAAAGAACACCAACGGCGAAAGCACUCUGCUGGGCCGACACUGACACUGAGAGACGAAAGCUAGGGGAGCGAAUGGG